rnacentral:rRNA from 1 species
UAGGGAAUCUUCCACAAUGGACGCAAGUCUGAUGGAGCAACGCCGCGUGAGUGAAGAAGGUCUUCGGAUCGUAAAGCUCUGUUGUUGGUGAAGAAGGAUAGAGGCAGUAACUGGUCUUUAUUUGACGGUAAUCAACCAGAAAGUCACGGCUAACUACGUGCCAGCAGCCGCGGUAAUACGUAGGUGGCAAGCGUUGUCCGGAUUUAUUGGGCGUAAAGCGAGCGCAGGCGGAAUGAUAAGUCUGAUGUGAAAGCCACGGCUCAACCGUGGAACUGCAUCGGAAACUGUCAUUCUUGAGUGCAGAAGAGGAGAGUGGAACUCCAUGUGUAGCGGUGGAAUGCGUAGAUAUAUGGAAGAACACCAGUGGCGAAGGCGGCUCUCUGGUCUGCAACUGACGCUGAGGCUCGAAAGCAUGGGUAGCGAACAGGAUUAGAUACCCUGGUAGUCCAUGCCGUAAACGAUGAGCGCUAGGUGUUGGGGACUUUACCG